CCUACGGGUGGCAGCAGUGGGGAAUAUUGCACAAUGGGGGAAACCCUGAUGCAGCGACGCCGCGUGAGUGAAGAAGUAUCUCGGUACGUAAAGCUCUAUCAGCAGGGAAGAAAAUGACGGUACCUGACUAAGAAGCCCCGGCUAACUACGUGCCAGCAGCCGCGGUAAUACGGAGGAUGCGAGCGUUAUCCGGAUUUAUUGGGUUUAAAGGGUGCGUAGGCGGGCUGUUAAGUCAGCGGUAAAAGCCCGGGGCUCAACCCCGGCGAGCCGUUGAAACUGGCUGUCUUGAGAUGUCGAGAGGUAUGCGGAAUGCGCAGUGUAGCGGUGAAAUGCUUAGAUAUUGCGCAGAACUCCGAUUGCGAAGGCAGCAUACCGGCGGCGAUCUGACGCUGAGGCACGAAAGCGUGGGUAUCGAACAGGAUUAGAUACCCUUGUAGUC
rnacentral:rRNA from 1 species